rnacentral:misc_RNA from 1 species
UGAAAGAUUUUCAGGGGCCUAGAAUAGGAGAUAUCUAUUGAAUUCCCUGGAUAGAAAGCCUGACUUGUUUUUCUUUUAUUGGUUUUUCUGAUAAGCUAUUUGAAAUCCUGAAGAGGACUACACAAUCAUAGAUUGCAUAUUAAAAUACAUGUUACUUAUCCUCAUCAGUACCUUUUUCUCCUUUUCAAGCUAACCGUUCCUGCUGACAAGAAAAACACAAUCUCAGCUCAAGUUCUGAUGGCACAGAUGUGUGGAGUUGUCAUCAAACUACAAGUUGAAGUAAUAUUGAUAUGUAUUUUACAAGUACAGACAUGAAAUGUCUAAAAGCUAAUUUACUAGAUGGUGUUAAUAUUAUUGUAUAAUCUCAGUUCAAACAUAUUUUCUAGCUAUAAUUUAUUUUAAAUUUUAUUUUUUAUGCAUUUAUGCACACCAUUUCCCAUAAAAAUAUAACAUAUUCAAUCAUGCAUUCCUUAUUAUUUUUUCUCCUUGCUUGCAACAUUUUUCCUUCAAUAGCAAAUAAGUUAUUCCAGCCUAAGUUGAGCUGUGAGUAUGAUUUGAAUUGUUUUAUUUCUGAGGCUUGUAGAGAGAUGUAGUAGUUUUAAUUUUAAAUCAUUAGCACAAACAGAAUAAGACAUGAAUAAUGUUCUGCAUUGGUGGAAUAUGGCCUAUAUCAUAUUCUGCACUCUGGAAAUAAUAUGGUUGUCAUGGUGGUGCAAUAUAUUGCAGCCUCUCUGGCUCUCUCAAUUUCAAAUAUUUGAAGCUACUUUGUACAUGACUCACUGAUCCUG